rnacentral:tRNA from 2 species
GGGUCCGUAGCUCAGCAUGGAUAGAGCGCCUGCCUUCUAUCUAAGAUAAUUAAGAAGAAAGCCGGAAGUCGAGGGAUCGAAGCCCUUCGGGCCCG